UGUAAAGAUGGAGUCGGGUUUACGUCAUAAAUACUCUCAUUAUCACAAUUGGUUGUGAUUUCAACGACUGUGGUGAAGAAAGGCAAGCCACAAUUAAGCCUGAAACCCACGCGUUCUUUUGGUUAUUACAGACAAGCGGAAAUAAUGCGAUGGUCUACCACGUUGUGUAGUCUCGUAUCAGUCUGUGAGGGUUGCGUUGCUAAGCAACGAGUAACGCUGAUACCAACGAUUCCUAGACUUAACAAUGCGUAUCCAAAGCCUGCUGUUACAUUCCGAAUAAGAAUUCUUACAUUUUCAUCACCAGUGCAAAUGCAACCAGUGAAAAACUUACUUAGAACAGAUCCAAGUCAGCACCGGUCGGAAUGAACGAGUAAACAAAAAUGGAGUACGCAAAGACGGAAACAAGAUGGAUCAAGUUCGGAGACAUAGAGGAGCUUGUGUUGAUUGGUAAAGACGUGAUCGGUU